GAUGAACGCUAGCGGCAGGCCUAACACAUGCAAGUCGAGGGGUAGAACACUUCGGUGUUUGAGACCGGCGCACGGGUGCGUAACGCGUAUGCAAUCUACCUUAUACGGGGGAAUAGCCCAGAGAAAUUUGGAUUAAUGCCCCAUAGUAUUAUUGAAUGGCAUCAUUUAAUAAUUAAAGUUCCAACGGUAUAAGAUGAGCAUGCGUCCCAUUAGUUAGUUGGUAAGGUAACGGCUUACCAAGACGAUGAUGGGUAGGGGUCCUGAGAGGGACAUCCCCCACACUGGUACUGAUACACGGACCAGACUCCUACGGGAGGCAGCAGUGAGGAAUAUUGGUCAAUGGUCGCAAGACUGAACCAGCCAUGCCGCGUGCAGGAAGACGGUCCUAUGGAUUGUAAACUGCUUUUAUACAGGAAGAAACCCUCCCACGUGUGGGAGCUUGACGGUACUGUAGGAAUAAGGAUCGGCUAACUCCGUGCCAGCCGCCGCGGUAAAAC
rnacentral:rRNA from 1 species